AUUUACCAGUACAUAAUCUGGUUUACUUACCAUCAAUAGAUUGUUCAUAAUAAUCCGUUCAUCUUCUGGAUUUGCUCGAAGAAUGUUCAUCAAUGAUGUCCUGUUUAGCCUUAGAAUCUGAGAAAUCUCGGUUGUUCGAACAGCAAAUGGCUGUGUUCUCCCACAUAAAACACCUAUUUCUCCAAAUAUUUCUCCUGCAACAGCUUUUCCAAUUGUUUGCUCUAGCCCUUCAAUCUGUGCUAUAAAUUCCACUGCUCCUGAAACUAUUAUAUACAGAUCAGUUGGUGCCUCAUUCUGCAAAAUUACGUCUUGCUUCGGAGGGAAGUAUUCAGCUUCCAUUUCAGGAACCUUAUUGCUGGCAGCGACCGGGAGAGCACGAGUAAGGAGCGACAAUAUUUCACCACCAAAGGUGACCUCAAGUUCAGACGAUCAAACAGAGAUCCUGACAAAAAAUUUGAAUCAAACGCUGAAAAAUCUGGCACCCUUGCCUUUUGAAGUGUUUUUGGUAGUUA
rnacentral:misc_RNA from 1 species